UUUUACACUGUUGGUGGGACUGUAAACUAGUUCAACCAUUGUGGAAGUCAGUGUGGAGAUUCCUCAGGGAUCUAGAGCUAGAAAUACCAUUUGACCCAGCCAUCCCAUUACUGGGUAUAUACCCAAAGGACUAUAAAUCAUGCUGCUAUAAAGACACAUGCACACAUAUGUUCAUUGCGGCACUACUCACAAUAGCAAAGACUUGGAACCAACACAAAUGUCCAACAAUGAUAGACUGGAUUAAGAAAAUGUGGCACAUAUACACCAUGGAAUACUAUGCAGCCAUAAAAAAUGAUGAGUUCAUGUCCUUUGUAGGGACUUGGAUGAAAUUGGAAAUCAUCAUUCUCAGUAAACUAUCACAAGGACAAAAAACCAAACACCGCAUGUUCUCACUCAUAGGUGGGAACUGAACAAUGAGAACACAUGGACACA
rnacentral:lncRNA from 10 species